rnacentral:RNase_P_RNA from 1 species
GUCGGAUAAUCGCGCCAAUGGAUUUGUGAAUGCGCCGGAGGUGAGGAAAGUCCGUGCAUCCCAGAACAGGCAUCCGGAGAAACUCCGGGCGGCGUGAGCCGGCGGAUAGUGCCACAGAAAUGUAGACUGCUAACUGACCGAAUAGGAUAUAGACAACUUUGAAAAAGGUUGUUUUUCGGUAAAGAGCGAUGGUGCAACGGUGAGGUAAGAGCAUCACCGGUGAUAUCGGAAGGUAUCAGCCAGGUAAACCCAUGUCGGAUGCAAGGUUGAGUUCAGGGCUAUAAAGGUUGUUCGCCCACCUGAGAAAAAACCGCUUGAGCUUGAGAGCAAUCUCAAGACCAGACAGAUGAUUAUCUAAAACAGAACACGGCUUACGGGCUGCUUUA